AUUGAACGCUAGCGGGAUGCUUUACACAUGCAAGUCGAACGGAGUGGCGGACGGGUGAGUAAUAUAUCGGAACCUGCCUAGUAGCGGGGGCUAACUACUCGAAAGCGUGGCUAAUACCGCAUACUAUCGGAGCGGCCGAGAUGGGAUUAGCUAGUGGGUGGGGUAAAGGCUCACCAAGGCAACGAUCCGUAGCUGGUUUGAGAGGAAGACCAGCCACACUGGAACUGAGACACGGCCCAGACUCCUACGGGAGGCAGCAGUGGGGAAUUUUGGACAAUGGGGGAAACCCUGAUCCAGCCAUCCCGCGUGUAUGAUGAAGGCCUUCGGGUUGUAAAGUACUUUCAGCGGGGAGGCGGUAGCUGCAGAAUAAGCACCGGCUAACAACGUGCCAGCAGCCGCGGUAAUAC
rnacentral:rRNA from 1 species